rnacentral:rRNA from 1 species
UGGGGAAUAUUGGACAAUGGGCGCAAGCCUGAUCCAGCCAUGCCGCGUGUGUGAAGAAGGUCUUUUGGUUGUAAAGCACUUUAAGCGAGGAGGAGGCUACUUGGAUUAAUACUCUAGGAUAGUGGACGUUACUCGCAGAAUAAGCACCGGCUAACUCUGUGCCAGCAGCCGCGGUAAUACAGAGGGUGCGAGCGUUAAUCGGAUUUACUGGGCGUAAAGCGUGCGUAGGCGGCUUUUUAAGUCGGAUGUGAAAUCCCUGAGCUUAACUUAGGAAUUGCAUUCGAUACUGGGAAGCUAGAGUAUGGGAGAGGAUGGUAGAAUUCCAGGUGUAGCGGUGAAAUGCGUAGAGAUCUGGAGGAAUACCGAUGGCGAAGGCAGCCAUCUGGCCUAAUACUGACGCUGAGGUACGAAAGCAUGGGGAGCAAACAGG